rnacentral:rRNA from 1 species
AUGUACUCCCUCAAACACCACAACUGCAGCUCCCAAGUAAACACCAUGAUCAUCUCGGCAGAACAACACCCACCGCCCCUUGUUCGUUGGCUUUGCUACUGCUCCAUCCGUGGUCAGUUUCAUAACUCCCUAGGGUGGCGGGAUCCACCCGCCAGAGUGUUGCACUAUAUGACUCCCAACAACCACGCUCUGUGCACACACAUUGAUCUCGUUCAAAUAGCGUUGAAUAAAGAGUUGUGUGGAAAGAGGGUUUGGAACUCCUGUUCAUGUAUUGCUUUUGGUGAGCCCCUUGAUACAUCUCUAACGUAUCUACUUUCUCUCAUGCUUUUCCUCUUGUUUUGGACUCUAAUUUGCAUGAUUUGA